rfam:Picea glauca, whole genome shotgun sequence.
GUCUCUUCGGAGACAUCCGAUAAAAUUGGAACGAUACAGAGAAGAUUAGCAUGGCCCCUGAUCGUUGUUCUAUGGUUUUCAGACGCUUUCUUUGUUCAC